rnacentral:rRNA from 1 species
GACGAACGCUGGCGGCGCGCCUAACACAUGCAAGUCGAACGGAGCUGAGAGAAGCUUGCUUUUCUUAGCUUAGUGGCGAACGGGUGAGUAACGCGUGAGUAACCUGCCCUGGAGUGGGGGACAACAGUUGGAAACGACUGCUAAUACCGCAUAAGCCCACGAUCCGGCAUCGGAUUGAGGGAAAAGGAUUUAUUCGCUUCAGGAUGGACUCGCGUCCAAUUAGCUAGUUGGUGAGGUAACGGCCCACCAAGGCGACGAUUGGUAGCCGGACUGGGGGGUUGAACGGCCCAAUUGGGAAGGGACCACGGCCCAGACCCCUACGGGGGGCAGCAGGGGGGGAUAAGGCAAAAUGGGGGAAACCCUGAGGCAACGCCGCCGGGGGGAGGAAGAAGGGUUUCGGAUGGAAAACCCCUGUCCUUAGGGACGAUAAUGGCGGGCCCUAACAAAAAAGCCCCGGUUAACUCGGG